AGACUGCAGGCUGCAACUCGCCUGCACGAAGUCGGAAUUGCUAGUAAUCGUAGGUCAGCAUACUACGGUGAAUACGUUCCCGGGCCUUGUACACACCGCCCGUCAAACCAUGAGAGUUGGCAACACCCGAAGUCGGUAGUCUAACCGCAAGGAGGACGCCGCCGAAGGCGGGGUUGAUGAUUAGGGUUAAGUCGUAACAAGGUACC
rnacentral:rRNA from 1 species